UGCCCAGGCCAAACUGACAAAAUUGGAAAACUGAACUGACUUUUAUUGAUCAUCUCUAUUACAAACAUUGAUUUUGUGUCGAGGCCAAACACUUAUUAUAGAAGCUUGUAGUUGAGACAGGAAUAGAAACAGAGACAAACAAAAACACACAAACACAAAAAAAAAAAAAAAAAUUCCAGCAGCAACAACUCCAGCAUCAAUUCCAGCACCAGUAACACUUUCAGCAAAAAAAAUUCCAGUAACACUUCCAGCAAAAAAAAUUCCAGCAGCAACAACCUGACUAAGGGGAGCCGUGGUGUGGCGCUUUGUGAGUGGAUGAGGAGAUGAGAAGGGAGAGAGGUUGACCCAAUUUGACCCACGAACCCAACCCGCGAACGUGACCCGGUUGGAUUUCACGAUCCCAGCCACUCUACUGGCCAAUCAAGGUAUUGAUCUGAAGCUUGGAAGCCGGCCCUCGUUUCCCUGCCAUCCUUGCCGCCGAAAGCCAACAAGAACGCCGUCGAUUUAGCUCAAAAACCGCAAACCCGACCCGACCCACGAACGUGACCCGGUUGGAUUUCACGAUUCCGGCAACUCCACCGGCCGAUCAAGGUAUUGAUCUGAAGCUUAGAAGCCGACCGUCGUUUCCCUACCAUCCUCGUCGAUGAAAACCAACAGGAACGCCGACCUUUUAGCUCGAAAGAACCGCGGCUCCAACGCACCACCACAUGAGUUCUACUCCCUCGAUCACGUGAUGGUGGUGGUCCGUCGUCUGUGGGCUCGUCCGUCGUAUGUGGUUUGUCAAAAGGGAAGUAAAGAGUGCGUGCGUGAGUGAGUUUGUGGUUUCUAUUCCAGCUAAAAGAGAGGUGAGAGAGAGAAAAAAAUUCUUGUUAAUGCUUUAUU
rnacentral:lncRNA from 1 species